rnacentral:rRNA from 1 species
AUACGGAGGGGGCUAGCGUUGUUGGGAAUUACUGGGCGUAAAGCGCGCGUAGGCGGACCUGCAAGUCGGGGGUGAAAGCCCGAGGCUCAACCUCGGAACUGCCUUCGAUACUGCGGGACUUGAGUCCGGGAGAGGUGAGUGGAAUUCCUAGUGUAGAGGUGAAAUUCGUAGAUAUUAGGAAGAACACCAGUGGCGAAGGCGGCUCACUGGCUCGGUACUGACGCUGAGGUGCGAAAGCGUGGGGAGCAAACAGGAUUAGAAACCCGGGUAGUCC